rnacentral:snRNA from 1 species
GGAUGUGAGGGCAAUCCAGCUGCGAUAUCUGUCACCCCAUUGAUCGCCAGGGUUGAUUCGGCCAAUCUGGCUGGCCAGGCGGGUGUCCACUUCCUCCCUCACCACUCCAUGUACAUCCCUCCCAAAGCUGUGCGCUCAGUCGAAGAGGACAAACUUCCCCGUCUUCGGUCAAGGGUAUACCAGUAGCUGUGCUCCCCUGCUAGAACCUCCAAGCAAGCUCUCAGGGAUGUAUGCCUGGUCAUGAGAGGCUGUUUUUGCCCUGCUGUGCUGGAUCCAAGGUACUACCUUGUCAAAAUUAACUGCAGUU